rnacentral:rRNA from 1 species
AGUGAACGCUGGCGGUAGGCCUAACACAUGCAAGUCGAACGGCAGCACAGUAAGAGCUUGCUCUUACGGGUGGCGAGUGGAGGACGGGUGAGGAAUACAUCGGAAUCUACUUUUUCGUGGGGGAUAACGUAGGGAAACUUACGCUAAUACCGCAUACGACCUACGGGUGAAAGCAGGGGAUCUUCGGACCUUGCGCGAUUGAAUGAGCCGAUGUCGGAUUAGCUAGUUGGCGGGGUAAAGGCCCACCAAGGCGACGAUCCGUAGCUGGUCUGAGAGGAUGAUCAGCCACACUGGAACUGAGACACGGUCCAGACUCCUACGGGAGGCAGCAGUGGGGAAUAUUGGACAAUGGGCGCAAGCCUGAUCCAGCCAUACCGCGUGGGUGAAGAAGGCCUUCGGGUUGUAAAGCCCUUUUGUUGGGAAAGAAAAGCAGCAGGUUAAUACCCCGCUAUUCUGACGGUACCCAAAGAAUAAGCACCGGCUAACUUCGUG